rnacentral:tRNA from 1 species
GGGCGGUUAGUCUCAGUUGGUAGAGCACUGCCUUCACACGGCAGGGGGCGCUGGUUCGAGUCCAGUACCGCCCACCA